UUUAUUUAAUAUUUUAUUUAAUACUUAAAUGAUAAGAUUCUUUUUGAUGUGACACCUCUAAACUUUAGACUAAAAAACGAACACAUCCUUAAUCAACGAGCGUUGAUUAGACCGUUGCUUAGCGACUUCAAGAGCGGGGAAGCGACAUGGCAGGGCAUUGGGAUUGGACUAUUGGAGCCUCGGAGACAAAUCAGCAAGCAAGGUCACCGGCAAGUCAAGAAGCCGAGGCACUGCGUGGGAGGCAAGGAAACAACAGCGCUCAGCUGCUCAAAAGGACGGAAGAGCUUCCGCCCAGACGAGCUUCUCCAGAAGGUUUCUCUCGUCGUGAAGACUCAAGAGAGCGGCUCUAGAAAAUUAAACGAGAAAUGAAACGAUGCAAGUUAACAUCACACCAGCAGAAAGAGGAUUGUGACACCGGAGGGGAAGCAAAAAGAGAAGAAGGCACCUACGUAGUCCUUCAGCCGAUCCUAUUCCAAGCAAACGAGAUCUAACAUCGGGCGCCAGCAGGAAUCAGAUUGCCAGGACCAGGAACUCAGGGACUCGAAAAGCGAAAUAAGAAGACGAUCGGAACGGAACGAUCAUCUUGUCGCGGAAAAAGCAGCCUGGAGAAGGGACCGAGAGAAUGGCUGCAGGCGAGCGCGUCCUCGGCUGUCGAUAGCUCGCCGGCGGGUGGCGGCCGCCGGCCCCGUCGUCGUGUCGCCUCCCGCGAGCUAUGGCUGUCGAAUCGAAGCAACGCGCCGGCCGGCGAGAGCUGCACGAGCACGAUCGGAGUGGCCUUUG
rnacentral:lncRNA from 1 species